CGCUAGCGGCAGGCUUAACACAUGCAAGUCGAGGGGUAACAGGGAGUGCUUGCACUCUGCUGACGACCGGCGCACGGGUGCGUAACGCGUAUGCAACCUACCUUCUACAGGGGGAUAGUCCAGAGAAAUUUGGCAUAAUACCCCAUACGAUCAUUUAUUGGCAUCGAUAGAUGAGGAAAACUCCGGUGGUAGAAGAUGGGCAUGCGUCCUAUUAGUUAGUUGGUAAGGUAACGGCUUACCAAGACAUCGAUAGGUAGGGGUCCUGAGAGGGAGAUCCCCCACACUGGUACUGAGACACGGACCAGACUCCUACGGGAGGCAGCAGUGAGGAAUAUUGGACAAUGGAGGCAACUCUGAUCCAGCCAUGCCGCGUGCAGGAAGACGGCCCUAUGGGUUGUAAACUGCUUUUAUACAGGAAGAAACGCCGCUACGUGUAGCGGUUUGACGGUACUGUACGAAUAAGGAUCGGCUAACUCCGUGCCAGCAGCCGCGGUAAUACGGAGGAUCCAAGCGUUAUCCGGAAUCAUUGGGUUUAAAGGGUCCGUAGGCGGUUUUUUAAGUCAGAGGUGAAAUCCUGCAGCUCAACUGUAGCAUUGCCUUUGAUACUGAAAGACUUGAGUUAUUGUGAAGUAGUUAGAAUGUGUAGUGUAGCGGUGAAAUGCAUAGAUAUUACACAGAAUACCGAUUGCGAAAGCAGAUUACUAACAAUAUACUGACGCUGAGGGACGAAAGCGUGGGUAGCGAACAGGAUUAGAUACCCUGGUAGUCCACGCCGUAAACGAU
rnacentral:rRNA from 1 species